AACGAACGCUGGCGGCGUGGAUUAGGCAUGCAAGUCGAACGGGAUCCAAACCUGUAGCAAUACAGGGUUGGUGAGAGUGGCGGAAGGGUGAGUAACGCGUGGGCAAUUUGCCUCUUAGUUAGGGAUAGCCUCCCGAAAGGGUGGAUAAUACCGGAUAUGGUCGUGCCGCGCAUGCGGCACUAUCCAAAGGCGGGGAUCUUCGGACCUGCCGCUAGGAGAUGAGCCCGCGUCCCAUCAGCUAGUUGGUAGGGUAACGGCCUACCAAGGCGAGAACGGUAGCUGGUCUGAGAGGGCGACCGGCCACACUGGGACUGAGACACGGCCCAGACUCCUACGGGAGGCAGCAGUGGGGAAUCUUGCGCAAUGGGCGAAAGCCUGACGCAGCGACGCCGCGUGAGGGAUGACGGCCUGG
rnacentral:rRNA from 1 species